GUGUCAGCCGCCGCGGUAAUACGGAGGGUGCAAGCGUUAAUCGGAAUCACUGGGCGUAAAGCGCGCGUAGGCGGUCUUUUAAGUCGGACGUGAAAGCCCUCGGCUCAACCGGGGAACUGCGUUCGAAACUGGGAGACUUGAGUCCUGGAGAGGGUGGCGGAAUUCCGGGUGUAGGAGUGAAAUCCGUAGAUAUCCGGAGGAACACCGGUGGCGAAGGCGGCCACCUGGACAGGUACUGACGCUGAGGCGCGAAAGCGUGGGGAGCAAACAGGAUUAGAUACCCUGGUAGUCCACGCUGUAAACGAUGGAUGCUAGGUGUCGGGGAGCGAUCUUCGGUGCCGCAGUUAACGCAUUAAGCAUCCCGCCUGGGGAGUACGGUCGCAAGGCUGAAACUUAAAUGAAUUGACGG
rnacentral:rRNA from 1 species